rnacentral:rRNA from 1 species
AGGGUUCGACUCCGGAGAGGGAGCCUGAGAAACGGCUACCACAUCCAAGGAAGGCAGCAGGCGCGCAAAUUACCCACUUCCAGAACGGAGAGGUAGUGACGAAAAAUAACGAGACAGUCCUCUUCGAGGUCUGUCAUCGGAAUGGGUACAAUUUAAAUCCUUUAACGAGGAUCUAUUGGAGGGCAAGUCUGGUGCCAGCAGCCGCGGUAAUUCCAGCUCCAAUAGCGUAUAUUAAAGUUGUUGCGGUUAAAACGCUCGUAGUUGGAUCUGCGGCCUUGGAGAACGGUCCCCCGAAAGGGCGGUCACUGUCUCUCCUAGCCUAAAUUCGAGUCGUCUCUAGGUGCUCUUUACCGGGUGCUUAGAGUGACUAGAACGUUUACUUUGAAAAAAUUAGAGUGCUUAAAGCAGGCGCAAUAGCCUGAAUAAGGUGC